ACCUGGCUGGCUCAGUGGGUAGAGCACACGACUGUUGAACUUGGGGUCAUGAGUUUGAGCCCCAAGUUGGGUG
rfam:Felis catus isolate Cinnamon breed Abyssinian chromosome D2, whole genome shotgun sequence.